UUAAAGUUUGCUGAUUUCAUAAGCCCGUAAAUGACCAUACACCAUUUGAAGGGGUGUGACGUGCCGCAACACCGACCAACAAGGUGUUGCUACUGUUUUUGCGCAGCGAGUCGAGGCGAGCCAGUGCCGAUUGCCACAAAAGGAGGUAAGCCAAAGGCGAGAAAUAGAGCAUGC